ensembl:miRNA
AUACAUAUUGUGACUUAUUAGGCUGGUGCAAAAGUAAUUGCAGUUUUUGCCCCAAUUACUUUUGAAAGUAAUGGCAAAAACUGUGAUGACUUUUGCAUCAACCUAAUA